GCAUAUCAAUAAGCGGAGGAAAAGAAACUAACAAGGAUUCCCCUAGUAACUGCGAGUGAAGCGGGAAAAGCUCAAAUUUAAAAUCUGGUGGUCUUUGGCCAUCCGAGUUGUAAUCUAGAGAAGUGUUAUCCGCGCUGGACCGUGUACAAGUCCCCUGGAAUGGGGCGUCAUAGUGGGUGAGAAUCCCGUCUUUGACACGGACUACCAGGGCUUUGUGAUGCACUCUCAAAGAGUCGAGUUGUUUGGGAAUGCAGCUCAAAAUGGGUGGUAAAUUCCAUCUAAAGCUAAAUAUUGGCGAGAGACCGAUAGCGAACAAGUACCGUGAGGGAAAGAUGAAAAGAACUUUGGAAAGAGAGUUAAACAGUACGUGAAAUUGUUGAAAGGGAAACGCUUGAAGUCAGUCGCGUCUGCCAGGGAUCAACCUUACUUUUGUGAGGCGUA
rnacentral:rRNA from 1 species